GGGCGUGUAGCUCAGCUGGUUAGAGUACUUGCUCGACACGCAAGGGGUCACAGGUUCGAAUCCCGUACCGCCCA
rnacentral:tRNA from 1 species